AGUGAACGCUGGCGGUAGGCCUAACACAUGCAAGUCGAACGGCAGCACAGUAAGAGCUUGCUCUUACGGGUGGCGAGUGGCGGACGGGUGAGGAAUACAUCGGAAUCUACUUUUUCGUGGGGGAUAACGUAGGGAAACUUACGCUAAUACCGCAUACGACCUACGGGUGAAAGCAGGGGAUCUUCGGACCUUGCGCGAUUGAAUGAGCCGAUUUCGGAUUAGCUAGUUGGCGGGGUAAAGGCCCACCAAGGCGACGAUCCGUAGCUGGUCUGAGAGGAUGAUCAGCCACACUGGAACUGAGACACGGUCCAGACUCCUACGGGAGGCAGCAGUGGGGAAUAUUGGACAAUGGGCGCAAGCAUGAUCCAGCAAUACCGCGUGGGUGAAGAAGGACUUCGGGUUGUAAAGCCCUUUUGUUGGGAAAGAAAAGAAGCAGGUUAAUACCCCGCUGUUCUGACGGUACCCAAAGAAUAAGCACCGGCCAACUUCGUG
rnacentral:rRNA from 1 species